rnacentral:piRNA from 1 species
AUAGUGUCUCUUGUAAGUUAGC